GGGGGUGUAAAGGUUUCGACGGGGGUGUAGAAACAGCAGAAGCGAGCCGCAGUCGCCCAGUCUGCGUUAAAAAGGGCCGUUUAAAUAUAAACGCUAAAAAUAAUAAUAACAAUUUCGCACUGGCUGCAUAAGCAGCGCUGCGUGUCAGCUCCGGUUUCCCUGUAGGCCGGAUGCCUGGCAUCGAAUUAUACAGGAAAACCUUACAGACUUUCCCGGAUCUGCAAGGGAACAACGGGAUAGCGGAUCUAUCAGCCUGCUGACGGGCGGACAGACGAGCGAAACCUAAACCAUCAGCUGCGCUCGGAGAAACUGCUGCGGAAAUGCUUUCGGACAUGGGUUCGACUCCCAUCAUCUCCACCA
rfam:Eubacterium sp. 68-3-10 unitig_0:quiver, whole genome shotgun sequence.